rnacentral:sRNA from 1 species
AGACUGCAGCUUGAAGAUAAAAGAGAGCACUGUGUCCUUUUGAAAAUAAAGGCAGACACAAAGAAGAAAGGAGCUGCCUUACCCCAGCAUAUACCUGCGGGAUGUUCUCUCCAGUUCAUUUUUACCUGGUGUCUUGAAAUCCGAGCAAUUCCUAAAAAGGCAUUUUUGCGAGCCCUUGUGGACUAUACCAGUGACAGUGCUGAAAAGCGCAGGCUACAGGAGCUGUGCAGUAAACAGGGGGCAGCCGAUUAUAGCCGCUUUGUACGAGAUGCCUGUGCCUGCUUGUUGGAUCUCCUCCUCGCUUUCCCUUCUUGCCAGCCACCACUCAGUCUCCUGCUCGUGUUUUUUCCACUUACGACCUCCCCAAAAUGGUAAGACCGUGUUGCUGAAUGAGGCUGCUCUUCUUGCCAUUCUGUCCUCAGGCUGGCCCUCUCACCCUCUUCAGUGAAAUCUUCGAGAACCAUCAGCAGGAAUAGGAUGACAGAACACAGG